UACGUAGGGUGCGAGCGUUAAUCGGAAUUACUGGGCGUAAAGCGUGCGCAGGCGGUUUUGUAAGUCUGACGUGAAAGCCCCGGGCUCAACCUGGGAAUUGCCUUGGAGACUGCAAGGCUGGAGUCUGGCAGAGGGGGGUAGAAUUCCACGUGUAGCAGUGAAAUGCGUAGAGAUGUGGAGGAACACCGAUGGCGAAGGCAGCUCCCUGGGUCAAGACUGACGCUGAUGCACGAAAGCGUGGGGAGCAAACAGG
rnacentral:rRNA from 1 species